AUCAUGCUAUCUUUGAAAUAUCAAUCACUCGUUUUCUGACCUUAGUGUUCAUGUUAUUUUACAACCUCAGUCUUACAUUCUCGCCACUAGCAGAAACAUAUAAUUUUUUCCAAAUUCCAACUUCAAAAUGUUUAUCGGUCCGGUACAAAAAGAACACUUGCAUAUGAUGAUCCUUGGCUGUGGUUGGCCUUGUGGAUCGUUGAGCGGACCCUGCGAUGGCUGCUGCGGAGGUUGUGGCGGUUGUGGUGGCUGCUGUUAAGGAUUUGUCUCGGGGAAAGUAAUUCAACUACAUUUCCUGGAACACUUUCUUUGAUGCUAUUGUAUCGCGACCAUAGACGAUAGCAACCAUUCUUAUAAUCAUAUAAUUAAUUCCUAAAAACCAUGCUAAAAUAAACAGUUUGAAGUAAGACAAAAACA